GACGAACGCUGGCGGCGUGCUUAACACAUGCAAGUCGAACGGAAAGGCCCUGCUUUUGUGGGGUGCUCGAGUGGCGAACGGGUGAGUAACACGUGAGUAAGCUGCCCUUGACUUUGGGAUAACUUCAGGAAACUGGGGCUAAUACCGGAUAGGAGCUCCUGCUGCAUGGUGGGGGUUGGAAAGUUUCGGCGGUUGGGGAUGGACUCGCGGCUUAUCAGCUUGUUGGUGGGGUAGUGGCUUACCAAGGCUUUGACGGGUAGCCGGCCUGAGAGGGUGACCGGCCACAUUGGGACUGAGAGACGGCCCAGACUCCUACGGGAGGCAGCAGUGGGGAAUAUUGCACAAUGGGCGGAAGCCUGAUGCAGCAACGCCGCGUGCGGGAUGACGGCCUUCGGGUUGUAAACCGCUUUCGCCUGUGACGAAGCGUGAGUGACGGUAAUGGGUAAAGAAGCACCGGCUAACUACGUG
rnacentral:rRNA from 1 species